UACAGAGGGGGCAAGCGUUAUUCGGAAUUAUUGGGCGUAAAGGGCGCGUAGGCGGCCUGGCAAGUGGAAGGUGAAAUCCCUCGGCUUAACUGAGGACCUGCGGGAGAUACUGUCGGGCUGGAGUCCGGAAGAGGGUGGUGGAAUUCCCAGUGUAGCGGUGAAAUGCGUAGAUAUUGGGAGGAACACCGGUGGCGAAGGCGGCCACCUGGGCCGGAACUGACGCUGAGGCGCGAAAGCGUGGGGAGCAAACAGG
rnacentral:rRNA from 1 species